rnacentral:lncRNA from 1 species
UUGCUUCUCACUACAUUGGCAACCAUUAAAACUUUUUAUUUUAGAUACACCUUAACCUAUCUAUGUUUCCAUGUGAAACAAAACAUCACAAAAUACUUGAAUAUCACAAACUUUUUUUUUUCUGUAACAAAGUGAACGUAAUGUGUGCAAAACACUGGUACAACCACCAAUCAAUUCUCCAAAUAAAAAAUAUCUCUGAUAUUUGUACAUUUCUUGAGAUGUGCCAAGAUCCAAAUAUUGAAACUCCUUUGCAGAUGCAGUUACAAUAGCUGAUCUUGCACAUUUCCCAUUUUGAAGAGGAUCAAAUAAAUAGAUAAGGAGGUAGGGGGAUUGCAGGUACUUCAACGUAUCAUUAAGUUAAUUCAUCAGAAUGCACAAGUGUACAGAGGGCGAGCCCUGGUACAGCGGUAAAGUUGUGCCUUGGUGACUUGUUGGUCAUGGGUUCGAGUGUAGGCUUCAGGUUUGGAUCUGUGCUCCAGUUCAUGGAAAAAAUAAUACAUAAAUGUUUAUAAGGCAACAUGAGCCAACAAUUAAACAAGAGACAUAGAAGAGAAAAGAAUACUUUGAGCAUCAAAUCCAGUAAGAUAUCCAAGCUAGUUAGAAGUUUCCAGAGAUUGUUAAUCAAAUCCAACUGAAUUGCAGGCUCAGUCAGCAUGCAUUUCUUCCCAUGUUGUGCUUAACACAAUGUUGUGACCUGAAAAAUGUUUUAUCAUGCAAUAACUGAUCAUACAAUGGCAUUCCAAUGUAAAUGAAAUAGCAAGUGCCAAAUUGUAGACAACUUGUUUAUCUAUUGUAUUCUGAAGGAACCGUCUGUUUUCUGCCCAAUCCAACGGUUUCAACCAAAGGAUAACACAUAACAGUGUCUUCCUCAAAGGAUAAUACAGUACAAUAUAUCAAAUUCAAUUUAGAAAUGCCAUAGAACUGUAUUAAUCAAGGAAAUGCUAGUGAUUAGAUGCAUUAAAUCUUCAGGCACAAUGCAUGGUAAUGCAUUAUUAACUGACAAAAACCCAUUCACAGUUCAUAAUAACCAAAAGACUCGUUUUUAAAUUGAUGAGGAUAGAUUGAACCAGUUCAAGAAGUAACUACACGCAUGAUCUUUGAAGAUAUCAGUUGAGGCCUCAAGAUUGCAACUAGAUGAAAACACCUACAUGAGUACUAGUAUGUCAUCACACAGUAACACUACUGAGCACCAACUAGCCAUAGAUGCAGGUAACAUCAUGAAGACAUGGAAAUAGAGAGAGAUAAGCAUUACAGUUAUUACUUUCAUUCACCAAGGUACAGAUGUCAGAGAUCAUUACUUAGUAACAUAAUCUUUGAUUGUGUUUGUGUCUAUUGAAUUCCUAACAAAAUUCAAUAAGUGGAGUAUCAGAAAAAAUAAACAGCAUCCAGAACUUUUUAGCUACAAUCAGCGUGCUUCCGUACUCAGAACACCCACAUCCUCAAGUUCAAUCGCAUAUAUGAAAUGUUUCCACCAGCACAUUUCUUAUUGACUUGAUAAAUCCAUUUCAUAAGUGGAUUUAGAGGGCUAUUAAAAUGAAAUUCUAUACAUUCUUGAACGAAGCUAUAGGGAUUAUUAGUUCUACUGUAUAAUAUUCAUUUAUCAAAAAAAAUAAAAAAAUAUAGAUGAGUUAUUUACAUAACUUUCAUCUCACUUAGCCUAUCAAAAUUACUCUUGAUGCAAUGUUAAGGAUUUUUCAUCAUUUAAAGUUAUUUCAACUAUUACCUUCAUCAACUAAACUAUUCUAACCAUGAUUCCUCAUGUGAAAGAGACUAAAUCACCUAAUUUCACUCUCAAUCCCCUAAGAGCUAAACCAGUAAUUUGCGCUAAGAAUAAAGAUGCAUAAACAAGGCUAAAUAACAUUAUUCUAUCCCUAGACAUGGGUUACCUUGAAGUUCCUUUAAGUUCUUAGGAUAAAAACAUUUUCCAAUGUUUAAAACCAGGUAACGUACAUGUGAAUGGAUGAUCAAACUAUAAACAAGGCAAUAAACUUAGAUAGGAAGCAAUAAUAUUGAAAUAACAUUAAAUGGAUACUAAAGAUCAUUACAUCAAAGAGUGUUUGGUAUCCAAGCCCCCUACAAUGGACAAUUUAGCCUUUUAUGGUCAUGAGAGACUAAAAAAUAAAAUAUGAACAAAGAAAAUGGAAGAAGAUGAAAGAAGAGCUCUCAAGUAAGUGUUUUGCUCUAUUUUGUGCCUUUGCUUACCAACCUCCUCCAAAAAGCAUAGUAUCACCCUUUUAUAAUCUCCAAAACAUUGCACAAUCAUGUUUUCCGUAGAUGACCGUGCGCUAAGUUUGCAUGUGCGCGCUAAGCGCACAUGUAAAGUACAACUAGCUUAAGUGACCAACGCUAAGCCUACAAACGUGCGCUUACUGCUCAUACUCGAUACAGCUGGCUUCACACGUCGUGUCAAAACUGUACAAAAAAAUUGAACAAAAUACUAUAAUUUUACUAACUUUAGCAUUCUCGAGAUAAAAACUCAGAAUAAGUUAAAUUUCUAUCUUUUAAAGUCAAAAGAAGCAUUAAAAGAGAAAAAAUUAGGUAAUUACUAUGUAAUUUAAACGUACAAACUAAGUAUACAUUGCAAUUAUCACUCAACUUCAUAAAAAAUCUUAACACCUGUUGAUAUAACAAACACCAAAGGGAGAGGAAGGAAGCGAGAUGUGAUGGAUUUGGCUACUGGAGUGGUAGUGGCCUAAUGUCAGAAAUUCUUUGUGCCCAUGCCAGACUCAUUUUUUAAGGAUUACUUAUGGUAGUAGGAUGUACAUUACACACCACACACCAAAUAAUAAUCAUGUACACAUUACACACUCCACCUAAUUAAGUGCCGAUUUUUUACUGACACAAUAGCGUGUAAACACCUUGUUCUUACAGUCUUGCUAACUCAUGCCCUUAAGCACUGCUUAAGGAAUUAAAAGAGGAAAAAAAAUAUUGCUAAUCAUAUAAAAGCACAUUUUAUGUGUUUUCUAAAUAAAUAAAAAAUGGUGAAUUGUUCAAAACUGAAGUAAAAACACAAUGAAUAACUAGUGAUAAGAGUUUAUUAUUGUGUGACAUUAUAAAUUCCAAACCCUAAUGCAUAUCUUAACAGGACUCACUGAAGGAACAAGGCCUCUUGGUUAGGGAAAUUUAUCAGGAAUUGGAAAUCAAAAUUUGAACUGAGAGCAAAAUUGAUUACAUAAAAAUGACUCAGAUUGGUUGGACUUAAAUCCCUCAAACAGAAAUUUGUGCCUUGUUUGUUGAACUUUCCCUGUUGUACACGAAAGGUGCCGGAAAUUUACCUUAAUCCGGUACAUUACUUUAUGAGGAACUCACAGAUUCAAUGCAAAAAAACUGGAGUUUAAGCUACCACGGUAUGCAACAAAUCGUCGGUCCCAUGCCACCGGAACCCUAAUUGCCUAACCCAAUAGAAAACAUUGAAAAACC